rnacentral:rRNA from 1 species
AUUGAACGCUGGCGGCAGGCCUAACACAUGCAAGUCGAACGGUAACAGGAAGCAGCUUGCUGCUUCGCUGACGAGUGGCGGACGGGUGAGUAAUGUCUGGGAAACUGCCUGAUGGAGGGGGAUAACUACUGGAAACGGUAGCUAAUACCGCAUAACGUCGCAAGACCAAAGAGGGGGACCUUAGGGCCUCUUGCCAUCGGAUGUGCCCAGAUGGGAUUAGCUAGUAGGUGGGGUAACGGCUCACCUAGGCGACGAUCCCUAGCUGGUCUGAGAGGAUGACCAGCCACACUGGAACUGAGACACGGUCCAGACUCCUACGGGAGGCAGCAGUGGGGAAUAUUGCACAAUGGGCGCAAGCCUGAUGCAGCCAUGCCGCGUGUAUGAAGAAGGCCUUCGGGUUGUAAAGUACUUUCAGUGGGGAGGAAGGGAGUAAAGUUAAUACCUUUGCUCAUUGACGUUACCCGCAGAAGAAGCACCGGCUAACUCC